AGGUAACAUACCCUUUCGGACGGGCACAACCCCGGGAAACUGGGGCUAAUUCCCGAUAGGUACCCCCUUCUGGAAUGUGGGGAUAUCCAAAGCUCCGGCGCCGAAGGAUGGGCCUGCGGCCGAUUAGGUUGUUGGCGGGGUAACAGCCCACCAAGCCGACGAUCGGUACGGGCAGUGAGAGCUGUAGCCCGGAGAUGGGGACUGAGACAAGGCCCCAGGCCCUACGGGGCGCAGCAGGCGCGAAACCUUCACAAUGCACGAAAGUGUGAUGAGGGUACUCCGAGUGCGCAUACAUUGUAUGUGCUUUUCUGCAGCGUAAAUAGUUGCAGGAAUAAGGGCUGGGCAAGACCGGUGCCAGCCGCCGCGGUAACACCGGCAGCCCUAGUGGUGGCCGCUUUUAUUGGGCCUAAAGCGUCCGUAGCCGGACAGGCGAGUCUUUGGGUAAAUCCUACGCCUUAAGCGUGGGAAUUCUAAAGAUACUACCUGUCUUGAGGCCGGGAGAGGCUGGAGGUACUCCUGGGGUAGGGGUAAAAUCCUAUAAUCCUGGGGGGACCACCGAUGGCGAAGGCAUCCAGCUGGAACGGGCCUGACGGUGAGGGACGAAACCCAGGGGAGCGAGCCGGAUUAGAUACCCGGGUAGUCCUGGGCGUAAAUGAUGUGGGCUUGGUGUGAGCGCAUCGACGAGGUGCGCUUGUGCCGUAGGGAAGCCGUUAAGCCCACCGCCUGGGGAGUACGGUCGCAAGGCUGAAACUUAA
rnacentral:rRNA from 1 species